GGUGGCCUAGGGAGCUGGUUCAGGUAUUGGUAAAAGCACAUUGAAUGCUAAUUAACAAAAUGUACUUUUCCCAAUGCCGGGGCUGCGUUCCCGACGUCGC
rnacentral:pre_miRNA from 1 species